AGGACGAACGCUGGCGGCGUGCUUAACACAUGCAAGUCGAACGGUAAGGCCCUUCGGGGUACACGAGUGGCGAACGGGUGAGUAACACGUGGGUGAUCUGCCCUGCACUUCGGGAUAAGCUUGGGAAACUGGGUCUAAUACCGGAUAUGACUACGAAUCGCAUGGUUUGUGGUGGAAAGCUUUUGCGGUGUGGGAUGGGCCCGCGGCCUAUCAGCUUGUUGGUGGGGUGAUGGCCUACCAAGGCGACGACGGGUAGCCGGCCUGAGAGGGUGUCCGGCCACACUGGGACUGAGAUACGGCCCAGACUCCUACGGGAGGCAGCAGUGGGGAAUAUUGCACAAUGGGCGCAAGCCUGAUGCAGCGACGCCGCGUGAGGGAUGACGGCCUUCGGGUUGUAAACCUCUUUCAGUAUCGACGAAGCGCAAGUGACGGUAGGUACAGAAGAAGGACCGGCCAACUACGCGCCAGCAGCCGCGUA
rnacentral:rRNA from 1 species